UGAACGCUGGCGGCAUGCCUUACACAUGCAAGUCGAACGGCAGCACGGGUGCUUGCACCUGGUGGCGAGUGGCGAACGGGUGAGUAAUACAUCGGAACAUGUCCUGUAGUGGGGAUAGCCCGGCGAAAGCCGGAUUAAUACCGCAUACGAUCUACGGAUGAAAGCGGGGGACCUUCGGGCCUCGCGCUAUAGGGUUGGCCGAUGGCUGAUUAGCUAGUUGGUGGGGUAAAGGCCUACCAAGGCGACGAUCAGUAGCUGGUCUGAGAGGACGACCAGCCACACUGGGACUGAGACACGGCCCAGACUCCUACGGGAGGCAGCAGUGGGGAAUUUUGGACAAUGGGCGAAGGCCUGAUCCAGCAAUGCCGCGUGUGUGAAGAAGGCCUUCGGGUUGUAAAGCACUUUUGUCCGGAAAGAAAUCCUUGGCUCUAAUACAGUCGGGGGAUGACGGUACCGGAAGAAUAAGCACCGGCUAACUACGUGCCAGCAGCCGCGGUAAUACGUAGGGUGCGAGCGUUAAUCGGAAUUACUGGGCGUAAAGCGUGCGCAGGCGGUUUGCUAAGACCGAUGUGAAAUCCCCGGGCUCAACCUGGGAACUGCAUUGGUGACUGGCAGGCUAGAGUAUGGCAGAGGGGGGUAGAAUUCCACGUGUAGCAGUGAAAUGCGUAGAGAUGUGGAGGAAUACCGAUGGCGAAGGCAGCCCCCUGGGCCAAUACUGACGCUCAUGCACGAAAGCGUGGGGAGCAAACAGGAUUAGGUACCCUGGUAGUCCACGCCCUAAACGAUGUCAACUAGUUGUUGGGGAUUCAUUUCCUUAGUAACGUAGCUAACGCGUGAAGUUGACCGCCUGGGGAGUACGGUCGCAAGAUUAAAACUCAAAGGAAUUGACGGGGACCCGCACAAGCGGUGGAUGAUGUGGAUUAAUUCGAUGCAACGCGAAAAACCUUACCUACCCUUGACAUGGUCGGAAUCCCGCUGAGAGGUGGGAGUGCUCGAAAGAGAACCGGCGCACAGGUGCUGCAUGGCUGUCGUCAGCUCGUGUCGUGAGAUGUUGGGUUAAGUCCCGCAACGAGCGCAACCCUUGUCCUUAGUUGCUACGCAAGAGCACUCUAAGGAGACUGCCGGUGACAAACCGGAGGAAGGUGGGGAUGACGUCAAGUCCUCAUGGCCCUUAUGGGUAGGGCUUCACACGUCAUACAAUGGUCGGAACAGAGGGUUGCCAACCCGCGAGGGGGAGCUAAUCCCAGAAAACCGAUCGUAGUCCGGAUUGCACUCUGCAACUCGAGUGCAUGAAGCUGGAAUCGCUAGUAAUCGCGGAUCAGCAUGCCGCGGUGAAUACGUUCCCGGGUCUUGUACACACC
rnacentral:rRNA from 1 species